CCCUUAGAUGUUCUGGGCCGCACCCGCGCUGCACUGAAGGAGGCAGCGUGUACUCCUGGAUCGAAAGAUUUGGGUAACCCGCGAAUCUCCUUCGUGCUAGGGAUUGAGGUUUGCAAUUAUCCUUCAUGAACGAGGAAUUCCCAGUAAGUGCAAGUCAUAAGCUUGCGCUGACUACGUCCCUGCCCUUUGUACACACCGCCCGUCGCUACUACCGAUUGAAUGAUUUAGUGAGGACUUCGGACUGGGACCGAUGCGGCUUUCGGGCUGCGUCGGUAUUCUGGAAAGAUGUCCAAACUGUAUCAUUUAGAGGAAGUAAAAGUCGUAACA
rnacentral:rRNA from 1 species